rnacentral:lncRNA from 1 species
GUGAUAUGCUUCGAUAUAUUCAGGAGAGUAAGGAAAGAGCUGCGGAAAUGGUAAAGGCAGAGGUGUUAAGGGAACGGCAAGACACUGCCCGAAAGAUGCGCAAGUAUUAUCUGACUUGUCUCCAACAGAUUUUGCAGGAUAAUGGCAAAGAAGAAGGGGCUGAGAAAAAAAUCAUAAAUGCUGCUAGCAAACUUGCUACAAUGGCAAAACUGCUGGAAACGCCUACUUCUCAUAGAUCCCAGAGUAAGGCUGCACACUCAGGUUUGUCCAGGCGGGUUGCUGGCAUAUUUUCUCUCUCUCUUUUUCAUUUGUAUAUUUAAUGUUUCCUAUAUGAAAAAGAGUAGGAAUAUAAGGAGUAGAGCUAAUUUAUAAGGUUGUAUGUGGGGCAGUGAGAGGAGAGGAAACUGGAAAUUUAGGAAAAAAGAGCAUCAAGUUUCCAGUUCCAGUGGGUAGACUGUACAACCCCAGCACCACCCUUGUCCUGAGAAAGGAUGGAAGAGGCUUUAAAUGACAACACAUGAGAAAAGGGCAGCGUUAGAACCGCAUCUUAAGAGGUUGUAAUGGAGAGACAGGAAGCUAUGAUGAAUCCCUGAAAGAAAGACCAUGGUAUGUGAUUGAGGAUGGGAAGCUUCAGUUCAAAACUGCUGCAUGACAGCUAUAAGUAGGAGCAGUAUCAAACUGUACCAAAUGUGGUGAUGGUAUAUCCCAGAAGUAGUGCCCCUGCCCAUACCCAGGUGCUUAGCUGGAGAUAUAGAACAGCAGUCAGAUGGAGUCACUCUAUUUCUCUCCCCUCCCUUUACCUCCCUUCCCAUCUGUUCCUUCUUCCUCUGCCCCCUUCCCCACCUCUCUUCCCCUGUCCUUUUCCCCAACCCUAGCGUUUGGCUGGGCAGUGGGAACAGGGCAGCAGUCCAGGUGUCUGGCUAUCAAGAACUAGCAGCCAUCGUGCCCAGAGUACCUCCAGCUCAUCGCCUUUCCUGUCACCAACUCCUUUAGUCAAACAAGAAAAGCAAACAGUAUUAAGGCUAUCUAAGAGAUAAAGAUUUAACCAAAUACCACCAUCAUUAUGAAAAAAGAGACCAAACUAGCAACAAUAGAGCCAAUGAAAUUCAUACCCAAGGCAAAAGAAUACUUAAACAAGCAGCAGGACCUGAGAAUGUUCAAAAGUAGAGGAUUCUUAGGUGUAAGAGAAUAUGAUAGAAGAAACUAAAAAUAUGCUAAAAUUUUUACAAUUUUCAAAGAGAAGUUA